rnacentral:rRNA from 1 species
CUACACAUGCAGUCGAGCGGAUGAGAAGAGCUUGCUCUUCGAUUCAGCGGCGGACGGGUGAGUAAUGCCUAGGAAUCUGCCUGGUAGUGGGGGACAACGUUUCGAAAGGAACGCUAAUACCGCAUACGUCCUACGGGAGAAAGCAGGGGACCUUCGGGCCUUGCGCUAUCAGAUGAGCCUAGGUCGGAUUAGCUAGUUGGUGAGGUAAUGGCUCACCAAGGCGACGAUCCGUAACUGGUCUGAGAGGAUGAUCAGUCACACUGGAACUGAGACACGGUCCAGACUCCUACGGGAGGCAGCAGUGGGGAAUAUUGGACAAUGGGCGAAAGCCUGAUCCAGCCAUGCCGCGUGUGUGAAGAAGGUCUUCGGAUUGUAAAGCACUUUAAGUUGGGAGGAAGGGCAUUAACCUAAUACGUUAGUGUUUUGACGUUACCGACAGAAUAAGCACCGGCUAACUCUGUGCCAGCAGCCGCGGUAAUACAGAGGGUGCAAGCGUUAAUCGGAAUUACUGGGCGUAAAGCGCGCGUAGGUGGUUUGUUAAGUUGGAUGUGAAAGCCC